AAGAUGGUUGAUGUCAGUACCAACAUGUUGUGAUGGAGGCUUCCACCUGAGCUGAACACAGAAACUUGCACACAGUGAUGGAAGCAGUCGUUCCUGUUCAGCAUCGAUAUGCCAGUAAUGGGUUUGAUGAGCCACAGCAUGGUGAUGGGCAAUCAGCAUCAGGACCAGGGCAGCUCACAAGGAGAACCUCCUGCCCUGCCUCGUCAUCCUCAACCUCCCAUCUCCCUGCUCUUCACACAUGUGCAGGCACGGAGCCAGUUUUCAGAGGGAGGGCUGAUGA